CUGCUUGUGCAAGGACAGCUGAUGCCAGCGCCAGACAGAGAAAAGAACGGGAAGCGGGUCUGUGGAAAGAGAAAGGGGAAGACGACACCUGCAGUUUGGGGCAUGGGGUGCUGCAUGCGCCCAUCAAGCAGCAGCAAAAGAGGACUCUGGAUAGGUCAUGGAUGGGCAGUGGUCAGCCAGGAGGUGGCUGUUAAGGUCAGUGAGCGGUGAGGUUACCCAUGGGGUGAGAACACUGAGGAACAUCAACCUUCCAGGGGACAGAAAGGAGAGCAGUAGCUUGAAAAGCACAAGAGAGGAAGGAAGGAGAAGGGGAAGGGGGGAUGGGAGGAAGACGUUGCUCAGAGAAUCCAGAGGUGCUCAGUAGCUGUCUGUCGCAGAGAAGUCAAGGAAGACGGGAGAGGAAUUAUAGCAAGAAUCAGCAAAAGGGAACAGGAGUGGGAUCCAUUCCCAGAGGCAAUGCCAGAUGUCUGUGGCCAAGACACGGAGGGAGAACACAGAGCAGCAGGUGCAGAGGACAAUUUAAGGAGUCUGGCUGUGAAGAGGAGGAAAGAGAGAAGUAGCUGGAGGGAGGCACAGAAGGAUGGCCUUUUUCUUCAAAGAAGGGAGGGAUUUCAGCAUGUCUGUACAGUGAGAAUGGGGCCAGGCAUGAGGGAGGGAAGGAAAAUACAGGUGCAAGAGGACAUAAUCAAGAGAAUGAGAUUCUCAAGGAGGAAGAAUGGAUUCCAGAGCUUCAAUGGAGGAUGAACAUUAGACAGUUUAAAAAACACUGGGUGAGAGGCCUGUUUUUCUAUCACUGAAAACAUUCACGGACCACAGAACGGAAAAUGCUGAAGACUACUGCUCUAAAAGCGCUACACACGCAGCUGACGUGAAUUUCUCCCCAAACUGAAAGAAAGGUCAGCUGACUUUCAUGAAAGACUUGGCUUCUUGCUCACCUGGGCUGAGAAGAGUUGUCUUAUCUGACCAUGAACUCACAGCACUUGGCUUGCUUUGGAAACUCCCCCGUAUCUUGGCAACACUCUACUUGCUAGAUGUUUAUUUUAGCAUCUACUCAGUGUGAACUGAGUAGAGGGCUGAGACGGGAAAGAGGGUAAGAUAGCCAAGGGCAACUAAGGGUCUGCUCUUUGUACUUUCAACUGAAGAGUGUAGUUGAUGCCAGUAGCACACUUUGAGGGGGAACUCUGGGCUCAGCCCCUCUACUCACUCACCAGCUGUGCUCGCUGUCUUCCUUUCCCUCACUAGGAUGUCAUGCUCACAGCAAUCCUAAAAUGCCAUUCCCACCUUCCAGAACAUCCUCAUCUACCCCUCAGGUCUCAGCUGAGCCGUUGCUUUCUCUGGGACAUCUUCUCAGACACCCCAGAUCUAGUGCUCCCAUGACACCACGUAUGUCCCUAGUACAGCGCUUACACACUCAUUCUGCACUCAUUUACUCACUACAUGCCAGCACUACCGUAGGAGCUGGGAAUACGGCUACAGACAAACGCCAGCCCUCAGGGAGUUUAUACUCUAGAGAAAGAAACAGACAAAAUAAACAUAUAACGUUGUCAUGCACCGUAAUAUUAUAAACUGACAUAUAACAAUACAAAUAUUGGGCUGGCCAAAAAAGUUCAUUGGGUUUUUCCAUAAGACGUUAUUAAAAAAACCCAAAUGAACUCUUUGGCCAACCCAAUACAUGAUGAAAUCAUCACACUUAUAAUUUCCCCUUCGUCUGUCUGCAUCUCCCCCCUGGCUGGGUUAUACAGCACAGCGUGCGGCUCUGCGCCUCCCAACAACAGCUUGACGGAUGAAACCACAGCCAUCAACUUUUUGGUUCUCUCCACUGUCCUAAGAAUUUGUCCUGGGCUUCCCUGGUGGCGCAGUGGUUGAGAGUCCGCCUGCCGAUGCAGGGGACGCAGGUUCGUGCCCUGGUCCGGGAAGAUCCCACAUGCCGCGGAGCGGCUGGGCCCGUGAGCCAUGGCCGCUGAGCCUGCGCGUCCGGAGCCUGUGCUCCACAACGGGAGAGGCCACAACAGUGACAGGCCCGUGCACCGCAAAAAAAAAAAAAAAAAAAGAAUUUGUCUUGUUUUGGUCACAUAUAAGAGAUAACUCAAACUUUACCUAAUCUUCUGCAAAGGGUCUGUUCUGCACAUUUAGUGUCAUUAAUACUAACGCCACGCUUACCUGAUUCUCAACAACUAUUCAUUGCUAAACCACGAGGUCCUUCACAUAAGCAGGGGCAGCCCUCCCUACAGAGACGCGGUGUUUAUCGGUAAGGAGCCCUCCUGCCCAUGGGUUCCCUAGUCCUCCAGGAGGUGCUGGAGUAAUAAGUCCUCCAAUUACUCUUCGCUAGAAAAAGGGACAUAAACACAAGGUGAGAUAGGAAAAAACUAAUUCAGGAGCAGCAUCGGCCCAGAGAACCCGCACGUCGGGCACCAAAUGAUUUGGUAAAAAGCUAACUGGUUAAUUGGUUAACCUCACACCCAUUAGGAUGCCAACUGUCAAAAAACAGAAAAUAAUGGGUGUCGAGUAUUGGAGAGGACGGGAGACACUGACACCCUCGUGUGCUGUUGGUGGGAGCGUAACAUGGUGCAGCUGCCAUAGAAAACAGUGUGAUGGCUCCUCAAAAAACUAAACCCGAAAUUAUCAUCUAAUCCAGCAAUUCCACUUCUGGGUAUACAGCCAAAAGAAUCUAAAGCAGAAAUUUGAAGAGAUACACCCAUAUUCACAGCAGCACUACUCGUAAGCCAAACUGUGGAAGCAGCCCAAGCGUCCAUGAACAGAUGAAUGGAUAAACAAAAUGUGGUGGAUACAUACAAUGGAAUAUUAUUCAGCCUUCAAAAAGGAAGGAAAUUCUGACACAGGCUACAACACAGAGGAACCUGAAGGACAUUAAGCUAAGUGAAAUAAGCAAUUCACAAAAAGACAAAUACUGUCUGAUUCCAUUUAUAUGAGGUCCCUAGAGUAAUCAAAUUCAGAGACAGAAAGUAGAAGGGAGGUUUUAAGGGGCUGUUGGAAGGGAUGGAUGGGGAGUUAUUGUUUAAUGGGUACAUAGUUUCAGUUUUGCAAGAUGAAAAGAGCUCUGUAGAUGGACAGUGGUGGUAGUUGCAUGACAACGUGAAUGUACUUAAUGCCGCUGAACUGCACAUUUAAAAAUGAUGAAGAUGGGAAAUUUUGCUAUGUGUAUUUUAUCACAAUUUAAAAUAUUUAAUUGGUA